AUUGAACGCUGGCGGCAUGCCUUACACAUGCAAGUCGAACGGCAGCACGGGAGCAAUCCUGGUGGCGAGUGGCGAACGGGUGAGUAAUAUAUCGGAACGUGCCCAGUAGUGGGGGGAUAGCCCGGCGAAAGCCGGAUUAAUACCGCAUACGACCUGUGGGUGAAAGCGGGGGAUCGCAAGACCUCGCGCUAUUGGAGCGGCCGAUAUCAGAUUAGCUAGUUGGUGGGGUAGAGGCCUACCAAGGCGACGAUCUGUAGCUGGUCUGAGAGGACGACCAGCCACACUGGGACUGAGACACGGCCCAGACUCCUACGGAGGCAGCAGUGGGGAAUUUUGGACAAUGGGCGCAAGCCUGAUCCAGCCAUGCCGCGUGUGGGAAG
rnacentral:rRNA from 1 species